rnacentral:misc_RNA from 1 species
GAACGAAGAAGCAAUUGAAAACACCAUGGCUUACCAAUCCAUCUUCCUCUGUUUUGCUCUGAUCCUAACAACCCUCCACAGCCUCCAAGCAGUAGACUACACAGUCACGAACAGGGCCGAAACAACCCCAGGAGGGAUCCGUUUCAACAACGAGCUUGGAGCGGAAUACACUAAACAAACAAUGGCAUCAGCAAGCGACUUCAUCUGGAGGCUCUUCCAGCAAGCCACCGAAGCAGACAAGAAGCAAGUGUCCCAAGUGUCUCUGUUUGUGGACGACAUGGAUGGGAUAGCCUAUGCAAGCAACAACGAGAUCCAUGUAGGAGACAAUUACAUCGAAGGAAUUAAAGCUGAUAUAAAGUGGGAUUUCAAUGGAGUCCUUUACCAUGAGAUGACACACAUUUGGCAGUGGGAUGGAUCUGCAGGAACCAAAGCUCCUGGUGGGUUGAUUGAAGGGAUUGCUGAUUUUGUGAGACUCAAGGCUAAUUAUGCUCCACCUAACUGGGUGAAACCAGGUGAUGGGAGCAAGUGGGAUGAGGGUUAUAGUGUUACAGCUUGGUUUUUGGAUUACUGUAAUGAUCUUAGAAAUGGGUUUGUUGCAGAACUCAACAAGAAGAUGAGAGAUACCUACAGUGAUAGUUUCUUUGUUGAGUUGCUUGGGAAGAGCGUCGAUCAGUUGUGGAGUGACUACAAGGCCAAGUACGGGAAGAACUAACUAGCUAGCUAUGUUAUUUAUGUGUUAAUCAAGGAUUAUUGAUAGACAUACGAAUAAAAGUAAUUAAAAGCUAAAUUCGGAAUAAAAUGAUAGGAAUAAAAGAAGUUUGUAUUCUCAAUCAUGCAAAUAAAAAUAUAAAUUAACCAACCAGUGUUUAGUAUGGAUAGUUUAAUAUUUUUA